GCUGUAGCUCAGGGGUGCAGCAUCUGCUUUGGAUGCAGACGGUCAUGGGUUCAAUUCUCGGCAUCUGCA